rnacentral:rRNA from 1 species
UCGGCAGGCCUAACACAUGCAAGUCGAGCGCGAAAGUCCUUCGGGGCAAGUAGAGCGGCGGACGGGUGAGUAAUGCUUGGGAAUCUACCUAGUAGUGGGGGAUAACGUGUGGAAACGCACGCUAAUACCGCGUACGUCCUACGGGAGAAAGCAGGGGAUCUUCGGACCUUGUGCUAUUGGAUGAGCCCAAGUCGGAUUAGCUAGUUGGUGGGGUAAUGGCUCACCAAGGCGACGAUCCGUAGCUGGUCUGAGAGGAUGAUCAGCCACACUGGGACUGAGACACGGCCCAGACUCCUACGGGAGGCAGCAGUGGGGAAUAUUGGACAAUGGGCGAAAGCCUGAUCCAGCCAUGCCGCGUGUGUGAAGAAGGCUCUAGGGUUGUAAAGCACUUUCAGUAGGGAGGAACGGUUGUUGAUUAAUACUCACCAAUUUUGACGUUACCUACAGAAGAAGCACCGGCAAACUCCGUGCCAGCAGCCGCGGUAAUACGGAGGGUGCGAGCGUUAAUCGGAAUUACUGGGCGUAAAGCGCGCGUAGGUGGUUUGAUAAGCUAGCUGUGAAAGCCCUGGGCUCAACCUGGGAACUGCAGUUAGAACUGUCUGGCUAGAGUACAGUAGAGGGUGGCGGAAUUUCCUGUGUAGCGGUGAAAUGCGUAGAUAUAGGAAGGAACAUCAGUGGCGAAAGGCGGCCCACCCUGGACUGAUACUGA